GUACACGCUGUGACUAGCAUAUCAAUAAGCGGAGGAAAAGAAACUAACAAGGAUUCCCUUAGUAACGGCGAGUGAAGCGGGAAGAGCUCAAAUUUGAAAUCUUGCAAGGUUUACCUUUCACGAAUUGUAGUUUAAAGAAGUGUUUUCUGCUUACGAUUUGUAAUAAGUUCUUUGGAAUAGGACAUCACAGAGGGUGAGAAUCCCGUCUAUGAUUGCGAUUUGUAGCUUUGUGAUACACUUUCAAAGAGUCGGGUUGUUUGGGAAUGCAGCCCAAAACGGGAGGUAAAUUUCUUCUAAGGCUAAAUAUUGGCGAGAGACCGAUAGCGAACAAGUACCGUGAGGGAAAGAUGAAAAGAACUUUGAAAAGAGAGUUAAAUAGUACGUGAAACUGUCAAAAGGGAAGCGUUUAACACCAGUGUUGUUUUCUGAAAAUCAACCUCUGUUAGCUUUAUGCAUGUUUGUUAGACCUAAUCAGCUAUCUUGCAUGUUCUAUUGUUUGCAGUGGUGCACUUUUCAGUUUACAGGUCAACAUCAGUUUUUUUUACCGUAAAAAAGUUAAAGAAAGGUAGCUCAUGGCUCCGGUCGUGAGUGUUAUAGUCUUUUUCCUAUGCGGUAGGAGAGACUGAGGUCUGCAGUGUAGGCUAUUUGGCUAGAUACUCAGGUGCUAUGUGAUACCAUUUCAUAAACAACUUGUUGAUUAUGUUUUGUCUAUUGCAUACUCGCUUGUACUAUCAUACCUACGCUUAGGAUGUUGAGUAGCGACAUACGCAC
rnacentral:rRNA from 1 species